rnacentral:lncRNA from 10 species
GAAGAGAGCAGGGCCCUGGGCAGGUGCUGAGCCAGGUCCUGCAGGUCACCCAGUCGCUUGAGUCCACGAAUGCUGGAGGCAGGCACUGGAGAGCCAGGGUGGUUCAGCCGCAGCUCCUCUGAGCAGGGAGUCAAACAGGGCUGAAACAGACACCAGCUCUCCAGGACCAGCUGCUCCAGGAAUCAACCUCUACCCUGAACCAGGUCCCUGAGGACCACCACGUGGCUGCAACACAGCAGGAGUUCACAGUCCAGAGGAGAAGCCCGAUGCUGAACAGAGAAUCACAUCCGUGAGCAACACAAAAGGCAAGGCAAACCCUGGGCAGAUGCCCCCGGGACUGUGUGUUAUGGGCCUACAGGAAGCCUCUCCCAAUGAAAAAGCAAUUUUUCAGCCAGAACCUCCACCAGUGUCUUUCAAACUGAGCCUGGACCUGUGGCCUUCCCUGCCUCCACCUGGGCCUCAACCGUCACGACCACCUGGCCUUUGAGAAAUCAAAUGGCUCACGCUGUGUCUCAGAGCUGCAACGAUCCAACGCCCUCCAUCCUUCAGAGGCUGUCUGAGUCCGGGGACACAACUCCCACCCUCCUCUCCUGCCAGCCGCGGCCCGUGGCUGCUCUCUUCACUUCGUCCCGCUUCGCCCCGACUGUGGAUCUACCCGCUCCCUUCUCCCUCAGUCCCCAAAGCACCAGACUCACAGGCCUGCUGUGUGACCCACUUUUACCGACCUUUCGGGGAGAGUAGAGGGCAUUUGUGACUCAGCUCAGAGCAGGAAACACAUCUCACGUCAACUGUCAGACAGCGCUGCUCCGAAUCCCAUCACAGUGCUCCAGCAGGGGGCGUCCUCACCGGCCGCGGCCACAGCCACGGCUCAACCCGGCCUAGCUCCCAGACACCCUCCUUCCACCGCCUGUUUUCCACCGUCCCCGCCUGCUCUUUCAAGCCAGCAGCAAACAACACCCUAAUCCGUGUCUUUAUUAUUCAAAGACCUUAAGCACUCUUUCCCACCUCGUUCCCAUCUUGAUUAUUUCAGGGAAUGAAUUAGGGAUUCACCUUUACAAUCAAAAAAGUUCUCUCAAAGCCAGGCUACUGGAGUUCUAAUUCUGCCUUCCCACUUUUACUAGCUGUGAAAUCUCAGGAAAGUUACUUAACCUCUCUCUGUCUCAUUUUCCUCAUCUUUAAAAAACAGGAUGAUAAUAUUUAGCUCCUAAGAUGGUUGUGAGGAUUUAAGUGAGCUGAUAUAUCCAAGAAUGUCUAGAACAGCGCGUGGCAGAAUGGGCAUUGCAUAUGGGUUUAAUCUUGUAACUGCCAUGUUUCACCAAUUCUAAGGUGUAUCUCGUUUCUCAUCAUAAGAGCUCUUCCGCUCGUGUGGCAGCUGGGAGUGGCCGUCAUUGCCUGCGCAUACCUAAACUUGGUCAGCAGCCAAGUGUUUUGUGAGACCUAAGAAAGGAAGAGCCCCAUAAGUAAAUGGAACUGUUGUGUUGUUUUAUUACCGAGAAAAGGGCAGAAUGAUUGCUAGUCACACGUGAAGCAAGAAAACCCCGGCAAUAAAGCUUGCAGAAUGAGUGGCUGAGGCUUGAAAAUAAAUGGUGGAAACAAUAGUGGACAAUCUUUUAAAGAAUGGCACAUUGCCAAUGCUCCUGAUGGCACAGAAGGUGACACCAUGCAGAAAAUCAAGGCUCUGAGUCAAAGAGGGUUUCAGAAAAAUUGGACUCUGAAUGUGAAGAAAUCUGGGGACUAUUUUAGCCAAUUUGUUUUGCCUAUAAUUUCCUUUUAUGCAUGCAAAAGAGCAAUUCUGACUUUAAAGACUGAUAUCUAAAUAAAUCUAAAAUAUCUUUUUUGUGUGUGUGUCUGUGAUACAGUGUCUCGCCCUUUCACCCAGGCUGGAGUGCAGUAGUGCAAUCUCAGCUCACU